CGGGUGAGUAAUGCGUGACCAACCUGCCCCAUGCUCCAGAAUAGCUCUUGGAAACGGGUGGUAAUGCUGGAUGCUCCAACUUGACGCAUGUCUUGUUGGGAAAGUGUUUAGUGGCAUGGGAUGGGGUCGCGUCCUAUCAGCUUGUAGGCGGGGUAAUGGCCCACCUAGGCUUCGACGGGUAGCCGGCCUGAGAGGGCGGACGGCCACAUUGGGACUGAGAUGCGGCCCAGACUCCUACGGGAGGCAGCAGAC
rnacentral:rRNA from 1 species